GACGAACGCUGGCGGCGUGCCUAAUACAUGCAAGUAGGACGCAGUUGCGAACGGGUGAGUAACGCGUAGGUAACUACCUAUUAGAGGGGGAUAACUAUUGGAAACGAUAGCUAAUACCGCAUACUAGUAGAUGGAUCUGCGUUGUAUUAGCUAGUAGGUAGGGUAAUGGCCUACCUAGGCAACGGUACAUAGCCGAGCUGGAAGGGUGGACGGCCAAACUGGGACUGGAGCACGGGCCAGACUCCUACGGGGGGUAGCAGGAGGGGAUCUUCGGCAAUGGGGGGAACGCUGACCGGGCAACGGCGGGUGAGUGGAGAAGGUUUUCGGAUCGUAAAGCUCUGUUGUUAAGGAAGCGGUACUUAACCAGAAAGGGACGGCUAACUACGUGCCAGCCGCCGCGGUAAUUC
rnacentral:rRNA from 1 species